CUCAACAUUUCUUUACCUGCUUUCAGGAAAACUGGGUAGCAGCAGCUCCCAUUAUGUAUCUUAAAAAAUUGUUACAUAUUUUGAUAGGUUUCUUGCUUUUGGUAAUUCUGUGCAAUGAUUAUGCCCUGCAGUUGCUUUAACAGUUCAGAUGUACUAGGGUUACACAAGAUUUAUGAGACAGAACAAUAAGCUGUAGCUGCCUGUUCUAUAGUGGUUUAUGAAUAAUACAAAGGAUGUAGUGUAAUACCGGUAUAGCUGUGCUUUUGAUUGAUGAGAGUUCAGAUUAUUUAGCUGACUGAUUCCAUUUUGUAUUUUAAAUCUGGGCAUAUGUAUUAUUAAGGUAUGUAUUAUGAAGACUGUAGUUGGACAUAUGAUUUUACAUCUUAUUUUCAAGACCAGGCCUCAUUGUUUUUGUUUCUGUCUGUCUUGCUUUAGACUCUCCCAGAGAACUUCAGUGACUGUAAACAGAAAAAGAAGGGGCUGGUAAAGAAGGUACAGGCUUUCCUUGCACAGUGUGAUACAGUAGAAGGAAGUAUUGGUCAAGAAAUGGAUAAAUUACAGUCGAAGAACAUGGCCCUAGCAGAAUGAGGCACAUUUUAAAGUAACUACAAAAAAUAAUUGCUCUGUGAGCAAGAAGAAGAGUUUGCUCUUGAUUUCUGGAGCACCUGUUUAGUGUUCAGAAUUUUAUUUUAGGAAAAGUCCUGUAAGGCUCUUGCAUGUUGGCUGCUGCUUACUGAUUCUUACGUGGUCUGCUCAGAUUUAAAGCCUUUAUUUAAAAAAAAAAUCUGCAGUUUUUCUUGGAUAAAUUCAUAACGUCACUGUACGAACAUGUUUCAGUUAACUAAAUGUUGCUUUAGUUUAUAAAUCAUCAAGAGCAAUAAAGAACUCCUGUGCUAUUGA